AUCAGGUACGAAGGAUUGCUCGUAAACUUGAACAAGAGAUGGAGGAAAUGAAAGGAUCAUUCGAGAAAUCUUAGACAAUUGUCACUGAUGGACCCUCGUGUGAUGAAACAACAUUCAAGCGGUUCCAAACCAUCACGAUAGGAUUUGAGAAACAAGAGAAAGUGAGAACUCCAGGGUUUUUCCUGAAAAUUUUAUAAUCCCAAAAUAUCCCGUUCAUUCCCGUUGUACAAGCGGCCGUAAAAGGAUUCGAUGCUGUGUAGAACUUUGUAUUUCGACUUACAACUGCUUCAUAAUACUCUAUUGCGAACCUCGAUAUCCCAGUGGUUAUCGUUUUUGAAUAUGUCAUGGCAAAAUUUCAGGAUCGGUCGCCGCCAUCUUGUGGAUGAAACAAAAAGACUUGUUGGAUCCUUUAUCAUGUAUUUUAAACGAUACUCGAUGUUGCCAAAUCGGUAACUUAACUGGAUUAAGGUUAAUAGAAAUCAUAAUAAAGAUUUGAACAUUCCAGCGGUUCCAAACCAUCAUGAUAGGAUUUGAGAAACAAUAGAAAGUGAGAACUGCACGGCUAUUCCUGAAAGUCUUAUAAUCCCAAAAUAUCCCGUUCCUUCCCGGUGAACAUGUGGCGCUUAAAGGAAUUCGGUGCUGUAAAUAACAUUGCGCUUCGACUUGCUUCAUUGUACGCUAUUGUCAUCCUCAAUACUUCAUCGAUUAAGUUCUUUUUUUUUGUUUGCUCUUUGACAUAAUUAUAUAUUGAAACGUAACUGAGGUUGCCAACUUGACUAGAUUAAGGAUAAAUUUGAAAACAAAAUCAUAAUAAAAACUCGGUUGUCGUUCUUGUAUUGUUCUUGACAACAAUUAAAUUGCGUGUUGUGUGCCUUCGGUUUUGCCUUAGGAUGCAAAGAGUGGAAGUGAACUUACCUCCAGUGUAUCGAGGAUGAUGUCAUUGUGUGAUCUAUAAUAUCAUGAUACUUUUGCUAUUAUGCGCGUCGGACGGAUCCGACGCAUGUUCAUUCACACUGGACAAGUUUAAAGAUGCAAAUUUUUAUGAUGCACUCAAGGACAUUGUUGGCUGUUUAAAGGCGCAUGCUUACAAAACAAAAUGAAAAUGUAUCAAAUAUCACGUCUGUUUAAUAAUCAAAGCUGGAAAUAGUUAAAUAAUAAUUGUACAUUUAUUUCGUAACUUCUGUUUGUAUAUGCUACAUGUUUCAUACUUUUAUUACUGUAGAAUUUGAUUAAACCUUUCAUAGAGAGGGACCAUAUUUGACUCUCCCACUUGAUAAACACUUUUGUUCUAGCAAUGAUUGAGACACAUUUGAUAACAGUUUUAUAAACGAUAACACACCGAAAAUGCAACCAGUCUCAUAAUAAAAUGUUUUCCAUGUCUACUUAAGAUUUAUUUUACAAUUUCCUUUUUUUAUUUUGUAACCUAUAACCUAAUUAUUUGUUAUCAAAAACAUUUGUCCAAAACAUUUCAAAUGAAAUUAAAAAUGAAUUAUUUACCUUUCAAUUUUUCCCUUUAAUGAAUUUAGAGAAAAAUAAGCUUGAAGUUUGAUAUACUUUUUUCUCGUGUUUUAGGUCACCUGAGACGAAGUCUAUAGCUCAUAAAGAGAAAUCACAUUUUUGAAUAUCAUUUGUUUGAUUUGUAUUGGAAUUCAUUCUAACUUUGUUAACAUUAUCAACAUUGGAUGACAGCUUGAUGGUAUGCAUAUGUUUGCUCUGAUUGACCCCCUGUGCUGAUGGGUGGGGCCAAAAAAAGUAACUUAAAUCAACUUAAAUGUUUCAAAAUUCAGGUGACCGUUAAGGCCCAUGGGCCACUUGUUAAUUUCUGCAAUAUGAUAAAAUACAGGUUUUAACAUUUUAUCUAAAACAUUUUAAAGUUUAAAAUUGAAUAUAACCUGAAGACGAUAUUCUAGCAUAGCUUUUUAUAAGCUACAUUUUUUGCAUUAAAAUAGAGUGAACAUUUAGAUCAAAAUUGCUGCUGAUAUCUUAAAUAGCUGAAUACGGCAAUAGUUUUUUUUGUUUUUUGUUUUGUUUGUUUUUUGUUUGUUACUAAGCCUACAAAUAUAUAAACCUAAAUGUAUUUAGCAAUUUUACAGCCAUUUGUCACUCAUGUAAAUAGACAUGAUGACCUCUGUAGGGGUUUGAUGCAUUUGUUUUACAUGGUGAAAUAAAAAUGUCACUUUAA